rnacentral:rRNA from 1 species
ACUCCUGCGGGAGGCAGCAGUGGGGAAUAUUGCACAAUGGGCGCAAGCCUGAUGCAGCCAUGCCGCGUGUAUGAAGAAGGCCUUCGGGUUGUACAGUACUUUCAGCGGGGAGGAAGGUGUUGAGGUUAAUAACCUCAGCAAUUGACGUUACCCGCAGAAGAAGCACCGGCUAACUCCGUGCCAGCAGCCGCGGUAAUACGGAGGGUGCAAGCGUUAAUCGGAAUUACUGGGCGUAAAGCGCACGCAGGCGGUCUGUCAAGUCGGAUGUGAAAUCCCCGGGCUCAACCUGGGAACUGCAUUCGAAACUGGCAGGCUAGAGUCUUGUAGAGGGGGGUAGAAUUCCAGGUGUAGCGGUGAAAUGCGUAGAGAUCUGGAGGAAUACCGGUGGCGAAGGCGGCCCCCUGGACAAAGACUGACGCUCAGGUGCGAAAGCGUGGGGAGCAAACAGGAUUAGAAACCCUGGUAGUCCCAUGAU